GCUAGUUGGUGAGGUAACGGCCCACCAAGGCAACGAUCGGUAGCCGGACUGAGAGGUUGAACGGCCACAUUGGGACUGAGACACGGCCCAGACUCCUACGGGAGGCAGCAGUGGGGAAUAUUGCACAAUGGGGGAAACCCUGAUGCAGCGACGCCGCGUGGAGGAAGAAGGUUUUCGGAUUGUAAACUCCUGUCGUUAGGGAAGAUAAUGACGGUACUUAACAAGGAAGCGCCGGCUAACUACGUGCCAGCAGCCGCGGUAAAACGUAGGGCGCCAAGCGUUGUCCGGAAUUACUGGGUGUAAAGGGAGCGCAGGCGGGAAGACAAGUUGGAAGUGAAAUCCAUGGGCUCAACCCAUGAACUGCUUUCAAAACUGUUUUUCUUGAGUAGUGCAGAGGUAGGCGGAAUUCCCGGUGUAGCGGUGGAAUGCGUAGAUAUCGGGAGGAACACCAGUGGCGAAGGCGGCCUACUGGGCACCAACUGACGCUGAGGCUCGAAAGCGUGGGUAGCAAACAGGAUUAGAUACCCUGGUAGUCCACACCGUAAACGAU
rnacentral:rRNA from 1 species